CGGGUGAGUAACACGUGGACAAUCUGCCCCCCGGCCCGGGAUAGCCCAGGGAAACCUGGAUUAAUACCGGAUGAGACGGGACCCGCGAUGGCGGGAUCCGGGAAAGGCGCUGCGGCGCCGCCGGGGGAUGAGUCUGCGUCCCAUUAGCUAGACGGCGGGGUAACGGCCCACCGUGGCGACGAUGGGUAGCCGGCCUGAGAGGGUGGACGGCCACAUUGGAACUGAGACACGGUCCAGACUCCUACGGGAGGCAGCAGCUAAGAAUCUUCCGCAAUGGGCGAAAGCCUGACGGAGCGACGCCGCGUGAACGAAGAAGGCCGUGAGGUUGUAAAGUUCUUUUCGGGAGGGGGAACAACCGUGGCAGGGAAUGGCCGCGGGAUGACGUGAAUCCCGGAAUAAGCCCCGGCUAACUACGUGCCAGCAGCCGCGGUAACACGUAGGGGGCGAGCGUUGUUCGGAAUCAUUGGGCGUAAAGGGCGUGCAGGCGGUCCUGCAAGUCCGGCGUGAAAGACCCCGGCCCAACCGGGGGGACGCACUGGAAACUGCAGGGCUUGAGUACAGGAGGGGAUGCCGGAAUUCCAGGUGUAGGGGUGAAAUCUGUAGAUAUCUGGAAGAACACCAAUGGCGAAGGCAGGCAUCUGGCCAUGUACUGACGCUGAGACGCGAAGGUGCGGGGAGCAAACAGGUUUAGAUACCCUGGUAGUCCGCACAGUAAACGAUGUGCACCAGGUGGCGGG
rnacentral:rRNA from 1 species